rnacentral:rRNA from 1 species
GGGGGGGGCAAGCGUUGUUCGGAAUUACUGGGCGUAAAGGGCUCGUAGGCGGCCAACUAAGUCGGAUGUGAAAUCCCCAGGCUUAACCUGGGAACUGCAUCUGAUACUGGAUGGCUUGAAUCCGGGAGAGGGAUGCAGAAUUCCAGGUGUAGCGGUGAAAUGCGUAGAUAUCUGGAGGAAUACCGGUGGCGAAGGCGGCAUCCUGGACCGGCAUUGACGCUGAGUGAGCGAAAGCUAGGGGAGCAAACGGGAUUAGAUACCCCGGUAGUCCUAGCCCUAAACGAUGAAUGCUUGGUGUGGCGGGUAUCGAUCCCUGCCGUGCCGAAGCUAACGCAUUAAGCAUUCCGCCUGGGGAGUACGGUCGCAAGGCUG